rnacentral:rRNA from 1 species
AACGUAGGAGACAAACGUUAUCCGGAGUUACUGGGCGUAAAGGGCGUGUAGGUGGUUUCGUAAGUCUGGCGUGAAAUUUCUCGGCUUAACCGAGGCAGGUCGUCGGAUACUGCGGAACUAGAGGACGGUAGAGGCGUGUGGAAUUCCGGGUGUAGUGGUGAAAUGCGUAGAUAUUCGGAAGAACACCAGUGGUGAAGGCGACUCGCUGGACAAGUAUUGACGCUGAGGUGCGAAAGCGUGGGGAGCAAACAGG